UUUCACAAACAAAGGCAGGCAGUGGCUCAGGGUUGGGAACAGGUAAAAGAAUCCCACCUGCACGUCAACAGCGCUCACCUUUGACCUUUUAACAGUUUCCGCUUUGCCAACGGCAAAUGAGCUUCCGUUUCCGUAUAGAAAAGAGACCUCCAGUUUCCAUCACAGGAAAAACAAAUGAUACUUCAUUAAGACAACAACAACAACAACAACAAACUACUGGAUGAAAAGAAGUCGAGUGAAUGCCCAGAUGUGGCAAACACUCCAAAUGAAGGAGAUGGAAACAGGCCUGUUCUGUGCUCUGGUCAGGCCCACUGUAGUGAGGGGACCGGCAGGCUGCCUGCCAGCUCUGCUCCAUGCCUGGACAGACUCAGUUUCCCGGCCUCUUCACCAGUUGAUAUGCUGGCACCGAAGGACAGCUGUCCCACAGACAAGCUGAAAUGGCUUCCGUGGCUAAGUGCUGAAGAGUCUGUGGCUGCCCUAUCCUAGAGCAAGGCCCUUCCUAAUGGUGGAACUGCCACCCCCACCAUCCCACCACGAGUCAGGAUAGUCUUGUCCUGUGUUGAAAAUUCUGUCACCCUUCUCAGACAAAGUGCAUCUGUUAAUAAAAUCCCUUCUUAGGGGAAGCACGAACAAUGA